AUUGAACGCUGGCGGCAUGCCUUACACAUGCAAGUCGAACGGCAGCGGACCUUCGGGUGCCGGCGAGUGGCGAACGGGUGAGUAAUAUAUCGGAACGUACCUUUCAGUGGGGGAGUAACGUAGCGAAAGUUACGCUAAUACCGCAUAUUCUGUGAGCAGGAAAGCAGGGGAGUCGCAAGACCUUGCGCUGAUUGAGCGGCCGAUAUCAGAUUAGCUAGUUGGUGAGGUAAAGGACGUCACCAACGGCGACGAUCUGUAGCGGGUCGUGAGAGGAUGAUCCGCCACACUGGAACUGAGACACGGUCCACGACUCCUACGGGAGGCAGCAGUGGGGAAGUUUUGGUACAAUGGGCGGCAAGCCUGAUCCAGCCAUGCCGCGUGAGUGAAGAAGGCCUCGGUUGUAAGAC
rnacentral:rRNA from 1 species